rnacentral:rRNA from 1 species
UACGUAGGGAGCAAGCGUUUGUCCGGAAUCAUUGGGCGUAAAGCGCGCGUAGGCGGCCCUGUAAGUCCGUUGUGAAAGUCAAAGGCUCAACCUUUGAAAGCCGAUGGAUACUGCAGGGCUGGAGUCCGGAAGAGGCGAGUGGAAUUCCGUGGUGUAGCGGUGGAAUGCGCAGAUAUCAGGAGGAACACCAAUAGCGAAGGCAGCUCGCUGGGACGGUAGCUGACGCUAAGGGCGCGAAAGCGUGGGGAGCGAACAGG